GAUGAACGCUGGCGGCGUGCCUAAUACAUGCAAGUCGAGCGAACAGACGAGGAGCUUGCUCCUCUGACGUUAGCGGCGGACGGGUGAGUAACACGUGGAUAACCUACCUAUAAGACUGGGAUAACUUCGGGAAACCGGAGCUAAUACCGGAUAAUAUAUUGAACCGCAUGGUUCAAUAGUGAAAGACGGUUUUGCUUUCACUUAUAGAUGUAUCCGCGCCGCAUUAGCUAGUUGGUAAGGUAACGGCUUACCAAGGCAACGAUGCGUAGCCGACCUGAGAGGGUGAUCGGCCACACUGGAACUGAGACACGGUCCAGACUCCUACGGGAGGCAGCAGUAGGGAAUCUUCCGCAAUGGGCGAAAGCUUGACGGAGCAACGCCGCGUGAGUGAUGAAGGUCUUCGGAUCGUAAAACUCUGUUAUUAGGGAAGAACAAAUGUGUAAGUAACUAUGCACGUCUUGACGGUACCUAAUCAGAAAGCCACGGCUAACUACGUG
rnacentral:rRNA from 1 species